CGCCUGAGAGCCCCCGCGCCGCGCAUGGGGGGCACGGGGCUUCCCCGCUGCUCCGCGACCGCCGCGAAAGGAGAGGGAGAGCCGCGGGCAGCGAGAGAGGGGAGCGGCACAGCAGCACCGCCGCGGAGCGCCGCGCGGUUUCUAGGCCAUCACCUCCCCCCGGGCGCUGCCCGCCGGAGGGGCCCGGCCGUGCCCCGCGGGGGGGGACAAACAGCCGAACCUCGGCGAGGAAAGGGCACGGGGCCGGGGUUCGGGAGCGCUGCUGGGAGAGCGGGAGCCGCGAGAGGGACCGGGAGGCAGCCUGCCUGGGAAGCGGGGAAAGAGGAAGAGAGAGGGAAAGCGUUUCCCUUUCGAACGGCGCCGGGACGGUCCGUGACUUUUGCACGGGAAAUUCAGGUGAUGGGAGCGAGGCCCGCUCCUCGUCCCGGGACCGGAGGCAGCUGAGAGGCCGGCGGCAAGCCCCAGCCCGAUCGGAGCGACAGAGGGAGUAGCGCGGGGGGCUGCUGGAGGCGAUGAUUGGGCAGAAGGCGGCCGGGGAGAGGGGGGGAUGGGGUUACGGCUGCGGCCGCUCCGCGUUCCCCCUCAGGAGCCGGCGGUGCCAGGCGGGCAGCAGAGCUCCCCGUACCGGGCCGGGCAUAAAUCCUAUCAGGGAGGGGGCAAUUACGAGGCCGUAAAAAAGUCAGGAAGAUGGAUGCUCUCGAAUGAUGAUUGAUCGCUAUUUGUAGCGGUCUUCUAAUGGGGAGCCCGAAUCCGGAUCCCGAAGCCAGCGGGCGACGCUCCUGCCAACGCCCCGGGCUCUCCGGCUCCGCGCUGUGCCCGCCCGCGGGUGCCCCGGGGCGCUGCCGUAGGGCAGGGGCAGCCCGCAGCCCCCCAGCGGCACUGUCUCACCGCAGGGAACGGAGCAGCACGCAGUGACAGCGAGCACGGAGGAAUGGAAUCGGCAACGGGGAAGUUACAGAACAUUAAGAGCCAGGAAAUGAGCAGAUUAGAAAACUGAAUUUCCUCGCUCUCUUCCCCCUCGCACGUACACAAAUCUCUAAUCUGAGACAGGUUUAUAGCCUUCACUUAUUUACUGGUGCGUCUCUCUGGCUAUCGUACCCAUCAUCUGGGAUGUAAGCAGCAGAAGGGGAGCAUCAGAGAGGUGCAGUUGGGAUUUUUACUAGAAAUGGGUCGUAAAAGCCGAGUAUGUUUUUAAAUAAUGGCCUUCCAGCCUAUUACGGGAUACAGAUUUAUUAGUCACUUUUAUGUUUGAAGCCAGGUUUGAAAACAACCUAGAUGUUGUUAGCAAAGUUUGGCUCUGACGAACGGAAAGCUGGCGUGUUAUGUUUGUGGGGUGCUGGUUUUUUCUUUAAAGGUUAAGGGACCAGAUUAAGAACAGCUGGAAAGGGUCACAGCUUGCGCGGGUGAGAGAGCAAUCAGCAGGUUGCCAGAUACACCUCGAGAAACAGGGCUGGUUUCCGUCUGCGCAAUGAGCCGACUUCACGGAGGCAGAAGCAGGGCCCCGAGAGCAGUGAGCACGUGACUCCUAAUGGCUUCCAAACAUUUGGUGUUUUGCACAUACUGUUUCUUACGGUCUUCAACAAAAAGGCAGCAGUCAUUUAAUUCUGUAGGUGAUGAGCCAAACAAAAGAUGGGUUCCACAGAAGACAAGGAACACUUCCCAUUUUGGAGACUUCUCAUGCAUUGACCAAAAAACACAAAAGUUGUUGGUUGUAGUUCAUUAUUCAUGAUAUUAUUCUACCAGAUGGCUAUCAACAGGUAAGAACAUCUCAAGCAAUAUCUUGAACAAAUAGUUACAGGCAGCUGAAAGUCCUGUCUUCCUUCUCUGGUGAAGAGACCUUCUGGAAAGGCUGACUGCCUCUGCAGAAAGUGAACAGCUCAAGACUUCACUGAAGUCCUGGGGAUGUGACCUUUUCAGCACUUGUGGAGUCAGGUUCCUUAUAACGAACAGACAUCUUACAAUAACCCAAAGAAAAUAGAAACAUUUUCAUAUCAUUAGAUUAUCAGAGCAAUGUAUUUAAAUGUCAUUUUCCUGUUGUUUUAAAAAGAAUGAGAGUCCAGAGGUGGAGCUCUGGUAUAUUAACAAGUAAAUAGAAAUAAAUAUUAGGUUCUGUGGUUAUGAUUUUGUUCAAAAGAUGCAUGAGGUAGGGGAAAACUCUAUGCAAUUAUCUGUCUGUCUCACACACCUUACUUUUGGGCAAGUAUUUCCCAGAUAAUGAAGAGGUACCAUUGAUAGAAUUUGCUACCAUAAAUAAAAUAUAUUCAGGAAGAUUUUCUUGGAAGCAUCCAUUCUGGUAUAAAAUAAACUAAAAACAGUCAGCAACCUCACAGAAGAAAUCACAAAGUUAAGAAUCGAAGCAUUUAAUCUACCAAAUGGAGGCAUUAGUGAUAUCCCAUUGUAUAAGUGUGCUGGAGCAGUAUCACCAUCCACCAGAGAAACUGCCACUUGCUGAAUAUUAUGUUAUAGUACAAACCAAGCAAAACCCUUCCAUUUUCUACCCAGAGAACCAUCUCUCUUAGUAAUGGUAGAGGUUUCCUCUAGACUUUAAAGAUGAUGAAACCAUGAAGCUUCAGGGGUACCAUCACUGGAAGGUCUGGAGGAGAAGAAAGGCAAACAUGCAAUUACAUAAGAAAGUCAAAAUACAUUCACUUGUUGAAAAAAAGACAAAACAAAAGCAAUUUGCUCAGAACAACAAAUAGAUCUCAGGGGGUUUGGGGCAGCCAACACUUACCCAAGUCGUAAUUGUCUGUCUCAGCAUCACUCCUUCCUUAAUAGUCAUGGGCUCUGCCUGUCAUUUCUUGAUAAAGCAACACAUCUUUUUUGCCAAGUUAAAUGUUAAAUGAGUGGAGAAGUUGAAGUGCCUUUCAUACAUUACCAUGUCCAGGAGGUUGUACUCUUAUCUAACCUACCCAAGGGACUUUUUCAUGAAGUGUCUGUGCAGAACACACAAUUCUCUGUCUAAAUGAGGGAAAGGCUUCCCUGGCCAGUUUGUAAGGAAAGCAGGAAAAAUUUCAUAACAGGACCGCUCAGCCCAGCUACAUGCCCCUCCUGUCUGUCCAGGAUUGGGUAGCCACCACUUGUUUGGUUUGUCCACACUUCCCUAGGGUCUCAUCUCAUACUGCUGCUGGUUUGCGGUUACAGUCAGUGGCCCGCAGCUGGUCUGGGAAACCACAAUAAGCACAUACAUAUCCCUUAGCAGGUUGCACAGACUGUCCUCCCAAAAGAAAUACAACAAAAGGAAAGUCCCAGAUCAUGCAGAAGUGCUGUGGUGAAGCUGAAGUGAUGGGAGACACUACUGGGGGUAAAGGAACUGUGGAGAGAAACAAAUCCACACUUCAUCAUCUUGGAGAGUACCAUGGGAGGAAAGAGAAGUAGAGACAGUCUCCAUGGCUUAUUCACCCAGCUUUGCAUGUGUCACUCUUGGUCUAUACUUCAAUAUUCAUAUUCAUACAUUUCGAUCAUUUUAAUCACUGCUUUAUUCCUUAUAAUUAUUUUUUUCUUACAUUCUUUUGGCUUUGCACAACAUAUUUGGAUAGCUCUAUCUACAUUUUUGUAUCUCUCGUUUGUGAAUGUUACUUUAACCAAUACAGUUGAGUUUCACCUGUUUGUGAAACACACUGCAAUUAGUAUCUAUACAUAACGGCAACAGUUUGGACAGUAGUGACACUUUUCUCUCUUAGGAACUCAAAUAAUUUUACAAAUAUUUCCCAAAACAUUUUAAAACAUUACCAAACAAUUCUCAUCACCUCUAGGUCAUCUAAAUUCUGGGUAGAUUAGAUGAAGACCAGUAGUUUGCAAUCUAUGGUUGUCUGUCUAUUGGAGAGCGUAGAAGUAUGGGUUUUUUUUAAACAGGUAUUUUUCUGACUUCAUUGGCAGUUCACAAUAAAUAUGACAUGAAAUCCAAUUUAAAGUUUUGAAAAUGAUAAGUUUGUCAUGUAACCCUAACCAUCUAGCAAAAGAUAUUUUCAUGUGAGUUGUCUCACUGACUCAGUGAUUUUGAUAGUCUAAGUGGCACUGAAAUGUAAUUGAUGUAUGAGUUACAUCAACUUUUAUCCAGUUUUUCAGCAGGAAAGCAGUAAAUAAUGCUACUUUGAGGUUAAGUACAGGCAUACUCACAACACCAACACUGCAUCAGCUUCAUUUCAUUCACAUUUUCAAGAAUCUUUUUUUCAUAAUGGGAUGAUUGCAGUAUGCACUGAACAAAAUUGAAGUCCUACACUGAGGAGAGGAUCCAUUUGAUGAAGAGGACCUUCAUCAAAUAUAUCAAUUCAUGAAAAUUUCCACUGACAUACUAGAGUGGUCUUGCUGCAAUAAAAGAGUAAUAUUCUGAUUUGGGAAAGAAAGGGUGUGGCUGAAUCCUUCUUCUAUAACUUUUUAAUAGGAUUUUUUGUGGGUAUAUCUUUUAUCAAUACACAUAUAUGCACUGGGGAGGGACUUUUUGUAAGGGCAUGUAGUGACAGGAUGAGGGGAAGUGGUUUUAAACUGGAAAAAUGUAGAUUUAGACUAGAUAUUAGGAAGAAAUUCUUUACUGUGAACGUGGUGAGACAGUGAAACAGGUUGUCCAGAGAGGUUGUGAAUGCCCCCUCCCUGGAAGCAUUCAAGGCCAGGCUGGAUGGGGCUGUGAGCGACCUGGUCUAGGGGGAGGUGUCCCUGCCUAUUGAAGGGGAGUGGAACUAGAUGAUCCUAAAGGUCCCUUCCAACCCAAACCAUUCCAUGGUUCUAUGAUAUAUGGAUUACUGUGAUCUGGUGGAUUCCAGGUGAAGGUAAUGCAUCCUGGCACCAUGGAGCUGCUUACAAGGUUGAGGGUGAAAUAUUCAGGGAUUUGUUCCUUAUUUUAAAUGUAAACUUCCAUCUUGUUUUAGCUGCAGGAUAGUCAAAGAAUGUUUACAACUGACACGUAAUUUAACAGCUUUUAAAAAUACAGUGUAUUCAAUGUGAAACUAGUCUUCAAAGGGUGAUACUGUUUUAUCACAUCUGAGAGUUUACAUUCUGCAUAAGUUUUUACUGCAAUAAUGAACAUAAUGCUAGUCUACAGAAAAUUAAAAUACUGUGUUUAUUCAUAUGUAUAUAAGCAAUACCUUAGAAACACCCUCCUCUGGAGCAAGGCCUAUUUCAUGCUUACCUUUGUUGUACAAACAAGUCAUGGAGCAAAGUUGAACAAUGAGAAAAUGAGGCGUGCAAAUGCGGACUCGAGUCCUUCAGAAAAGCUCUGCCUCAGUGUGAAGGAGCUGGAGUGCUGUCCUGUCCCCUGGGGGUUGGAAGAAACAAAAUUCAGUGAAUAUACGGAUAUUUGCAGGAUGGGGCCCUACUUCCCAUAGGUUUUCACUUCACUGUAUGAUCCAGCUGCUGCACCUAUAAAGACAGAGUAUUUUUGUGGACUUUCUCAUCAUCUAUUUUCUUUCUAAUGCUUAAAUAUAUUCUGCAGAAGGCUCAAGAAGGUCACCAGUUAAUCGAACAGGAAUUUCAAAGCUGAUGCUCAGCUUGCCUCUGACAUAACCUGUUUUGUGACAGUCCUGGGUGAUGACCCUGAAAACUCACGUGAUAUUUACUAACAUGCAGCAGUGUCUUUGGGCUAGUUCCAUAUUAUCGCGUGUCUCAGAGCGCAUGCUGCCAAAAAAUGCUAGCAGAAAAUGAUUAUUUUUAAAUAAUUGCUUAUGUACAGUAGAGUUUUAUGUUUUCUUCUUUUUUUCUUCUGUUUUUGUAAUUUAUAAGUGUGAGCACAACCCCUUAGUGAGGCUGCCUAGGCAAUAGGACAGAUAUUUUCAAAGUGCCUUUUCCUGGUCAGACAAACAAAAUACAUUUCUGUUUUAAUAGCUGAGAACCAGAAAUAUAGGUUGAAAGUAACAGUUCUAGCUAACAUAUUUCAAACAAAAGGAUCAAAUCUCUCAGAGUAAAGGGAUGCUGAGCAUGAAUUCUUGUCCUACUGAUUAGGCAAAAAAAAAAAAAAGUAAUUUAUUUCAUUGAAAUAAUUCUUACUUGACAUGUAAUGAACACAAUCAAAGUUGCAGGCUCAUUAAUGACUUACUAAUGACAGUCUCCCUCUGAGUCGCAUUAGGAAACCACUUUUAGAGUGGAAAAAAAAUUAUUAAGGGAAAAGUCUUAAAAUAACAUGCAAGAAGCACAAGUAUUUAAAUUGACCUGAAAUCAAACUGUUGCAGUUACUUAGGUACCUAAAGAUGCAAAUAAGUAUUUAGUAAGAUUUUAAAAAUACAUGAUUGAUCUUAAGGUGCCUGCAUCCAAAUAUUUUUCAGCUACCAAUCAGUCCUCUGCUUUCAGCAUUAAACCAAGUGCCUGAUGUUUCUCGGUAUGUCUAGGAGUCUUUCAGUGACAGCAGAGCUGAAUUCCCCAUGUCUAAUUUAUGCCUGACAGGUUCCACAAGCAUGUUCCUCUGCCUGUAUCACCUAAGGAGCUGUAUCCUGCAUAGCAGGAACAUUCACUGAGGGCCAGAGACACCUGAAUCUCAGCCCCUGCUCCAAUGACUGGUUUAUGUAAGAUUUCUAAUGUAGAUGUUAAAUAUAAGAUAAAAAUGUAUUUUAAAUACAUAAACCAACCAGUGAAGCAAGGACUGGGAGCCAGGUGUCUAUACUUACUCCUGAGUAUCUCCACUUUUUGUGGAUGCUACCUUCUUUGCCUCUGUGAGCUGCUCACUGAAAUCUUCAUAUGGCUGGAGGCCACAACACACACAAAUGCUACUAAUGCAGAUAGACUGAGGGAAGUGGAAGCUCUCAGGAGGAGCUGAUGAUGGCUCAUUAGGACUCCCACCUGUCCAUUACAAGGAUGGACUGGAUUAGCCAUGCAGUCUAAUCAUACAAUCAAGGAAAUAAUAUCACCCUCAAAAGCUUGGGCUACCAGACUCCCUCCUGCAAACAAAAGUUGAGAUUACUCUGUAACCCACUGCAACAAUUCAUAGCACCAGCACUUAUCGUGCAACCAAGCUCCCCUAGGAACCGUCUGCUGCUCAGGAACUGUAUGUGGUGCAGGGCAGUGUGGAGUCAUUGAGGAGAGAUUCUUGUUUUGUUUUCUCUUGAUUUGGAAAAAAACUUAUAGCAAUACAUCAAAGUUUGAGGCAAUGAAAUUUUUCAGUGGUAUGUACAUCGGCUGCUCUGAGGUAAUGCCUCCUAUUUAUUUCUAUAGAAACUGCAACAGAUACAAAGAGCACGGUAAUAGUGUUUGAUAAAGCAAACUCUUCUCUACAAAACACUAUUUUUUUGCAUAAUCACCACCAUUAGCUGAUUCCUGUGUGGAUGAGCUGAUAAAACCACUCUUCAUUUCACGGUGUGACAGCUGGGCAUGGCCAUCAGAACAUGACUUGUCUUCCACGUUGCUGACACCACUGUUAAAACACAUCACCCACCUCCUCACUGUGCUCACAUCCACUGUUUGGUCUCCAGAAACAUUCAGCAAGCAUUAAUGAAUGUCAGUAUGCUUUUUCCACAUGGAGGAAUUCAGUGACACACCUUUGCUUCACACAUACUUCCAUGUAAGACACCAUUUUGUCAGACUGCCCCUCUGCUUCCAUCUGUUGCACAACAACAAAAUGUAAUGGAAUAUCGGGGGAAAGGUUCAACCUGUACUGCCAUAGUAUCAAUGUCUGUCUCUGUCAUAGUUUGCCAACAAAAUAAAAUGGGAAGCAUUACUUUUGGAGCAGCCACUGUAGUAUGCCAGUGUUGCAUAGGUGAGCUGUCUUUUGGAACUGAAGAAUCCUUAUUUACUUCUUGUAAGUUGGCCCCAUUUCAGGUUUGGGCUGCUUCGUAGGUUCUCCUACAGGCUGGUGGUUACAGUGGACAAGACAUCUGGGGUUAGGAAAGCAAAAUAAACCCAGGCCCUCUCUUCCUUUCUUCCUUCUUCCUGGAAGGAGAACAUCUUGUUUCCACUCCCAGAUUUGAUUCUUCUGUCAUCUUCUUCUUCUUCUUUUUAAUCAUUUAUUCUAUCAUUUUUCAAUGUAAAAUCCAUGAACCAACCCUGAAGAUGGGACAAGAACCCAAGACUUGCUUCUCCCUUUUCCCUAUUUGCAGGGCUGCUGCUGGAUGGUACGUUCUUGCUCAUUUCUUCUUGGGUUUUGUGCAACUCUCAUGUUGCAGCUGUCUCCUGGGGAUUUAGCACCAAGUGACAGAGAAAUUAAUACACCAAAAAUAGCUGUAAAGUAAUUCUGGCCUUCAGGUAUUUAGGAAGUUGUUUCACUGAAUGCUACAGUAGUAUGCUUGUAGUGACAGCUACACUCAUAAACCCUUAUAGGGUUCUUUUGAGAAUGCUAUUCUAAAUCCUGAAAUUUUGACAUUUUUAAGCAGCCCCUUUUAACCCCAAAUAAUGUAAGCCUAAAUCUAAGAUUAUCUAAGCACAUCCUUUUUAAUAUCAGGCUGUUUUAUAUGUUUAAAUAUUAUCUACCACACCACCAAAAGGAGCAAGCAACAUUAUCCAUUUCUAGGACUGUGUAGUCCUGCAUCAUAUCAGAACAUUUAGAUAUAUAUGAAUGCAGCAAGAUCUCACACUUGCUUUGAGAUGAUUUUAAUGAGAAAAUGAGAAACUGGAGAGUGUGCUGAAGUGGCUUGCAAGCUCAUGCACCAUAUCUUAACAUUUUUAUGUGAUACAGGUAGUUGUAACCCUGCGAACAUCAGGGGAGCUGCAUAUUCCCAUCUCAGGUCUGAAAUGACUCAGCCGCUCUUGUAUCAGUACAAGGACACAGCAAUUUUUAACAGCAACUUUGUGGAGCUUAAUGGAAUUCAUUUCCUAUUCAUACUACCUCCUUCAGUUUGUUUCCAGGCCUAAUACAGGAACCAUAUGGAGGAAAGCACAGGAAGAUAAGUAGGCAUUGCAUGCCAUUACUCACCAUCUGCUUAGAUGCGCUGUGCUGAGCUGAACAAGGAACAGGUUGUGGCUCUGGCAACAUUCAUGUUUGGACUACGAGAGCAUCCCCUGCUAGGGAAUGCAUGGGAAGGUUUUCCUGGGGUUUCUGUGUGAGAUGAGGGCAGCAAGUGGCUGACUGACGAGGAAGGAGCAGUGAGUGAAGACAAAAAGCAGCUGAGAAAUGAGAGCCUGUGUUGAGAGAAGGGAUAAAAAGUGAAUGAGGGUAGGCAGAUGGUAAAAGCAUUAGUGAUAUGGCAGCAUAUGAUGUUGAGAUGUAGAUUUUGAUGACAAUACAUAGUUCUGCACUCACUGCAAGUUUGGAGGUUUUGCCCUAAGUUUCUUAACUGAUAUUAUUCCACCUGGCAUUUUAUCAGUGAGAUCCACUCUCAGCAAAAAUUAUAAAACCAAAAAUGUAUGUUAAAUCAUAUGGUAUGCAUUUACGUGAGAUUUAUAUGUGAACUUACCCACCGUAAAGCUGUGCUCUCACAGAACCUUCACCACACUUCCCUGCACCUGCAGAGAGCUGGGAGUGGGAGGAUAAUUACAAGCAUUGAGAGGCUCAGCCAGAUGUUCCAGGAAUGGAGGAAUUUCAUCUUUGGUUGGCUGGCCUCUCUGGGCAGGAAAACAGAAAGAGGAAGCAGCCUUGUUUGAGCUGGCCUGCGCCAUGCAGUCCAGGCCUGGUGAGUGCCAGGCUUCGUUGUUACCACAGACCAGGCAAAGGCAAACACUGAGCGGAUGGGGAAGGCUGAAGUGUUAAAGGAAACAUGGGUGUGAAAUAGGAGUGUGUGCAAAUGAUGAGAGCAUGAGCCUGACGUGAUACGGUAAGCUAACACAUUCCACAGUGCGUUCCUCCAAAAAGAUGAGGUGUCACUUCUGCGACUCUUAGACUUAUGUAUUUCAGCUUUUUACCUGAGCAAAAGUAGAUAACAAAUUAUCCAGCAAGUACCUUUUCAUCUUAUAUCUUUUUGUUUUGUUACCAAGAUG
ensembl:lncRNA